UACGAGGGGGGCAAGCGUUGUUCGGAUUUAUUGGGCGUAAAGGGUGCGUAGGCGGUUUGGCAAGUCUUGUGUGAAAUCUUCGGGCUCAACCCGAAGCCUGCAUAAGAAACUGCCGGGCUUGAGUAUGGGAGAGGGGGGUAGAAUUCCACGUGUAGCAGUGAAAUGCGUAGAGAUGUGGAGGAAUACCGAUGGCGAAGGCAGCCCCCUGGGCCAAUACUGACGCUCAUGCACGAAAGCGUGGGGAGCAAACAGG
rnacentral:rRNA from 1 species